rnacentral:tRNA from 1 species
GCCCAUGUGGCUCAGGGGUAGAGCACACCCUUGGUAAGGGUGAGGUCGGCAGUUCAAAUCUGCCUAUCAGCACCA